AUGAAGAAACAGGAGCGAAGCCGAAUCGUGGGCCGGCCCAAGUGGAAGCCACAGGGUUGCUCGCUCUCAGCGAAGCAGCAAAGAUUUGACGCUAACGAGUGUCAUAUAGGAAUCGCCAGAAAUGGGAACUCCUAUUGGACGCUCGCUGCGGCAAGCAGUCGGCGUUUCGCACACAGGCAGCUUGGCUGGGCCGGCCCAUGUUGCGGGUGCGCCACAUUCGCUAGCCUCGACAAGUCGACGCAGCGAGCGUCCAAUAGGAUUUUCCCGCAGCAGGCGCAACAGUACCUCCGGCCGCCGCUGCCCGGCCGGCUGGCGCGGCGGCGCCUGACUGAAAUUCCCCUGCAAACCGCAGAUUCCGUUCGCUCCUUAUUCCUUCUCAGGGAGCUGAAGGACAUUCCAGGAUCUGCUCAUAACGAUGGGCCAACCCUUAAUGACUUGCUUGACCUGGCAGACAACAAAACUUUCUGGUUUCACAUGGCCUUGGCCCUUGUGGAAUCUCUGAGUGAUUUUGCGGACUCUGUAGCUGUCAAGGCAGAAAUCAUAUUUCAGAGCUUCCAUCUGUGGGGGCAAUUGCAGUUGAGGUGCAAGUUGGGCAAUGAAAGAUGCCUAAGCCAUCUCUAUAUCAAAGUUAAAGAUGCCCCUCAAGCCAUACAAGAUCCAACCCAGCCUUGCCUCCGAAGCUCUGAAACACCAGCAACCCUGAUGGCGCAAAUGGAGCAGCGAGGAUCAACGAACAUGACCAAGGCGCUGGAAGCUCUUUCGCCGUGGCUCGAAAACCCACGGAGCAUUGUCAAUCAAGUGGAGGCGCUCGUCCUCGCCGCGGCUGUGCUCCUGCUCUUCCAGCUCAUCCUCUGUUCCUGCAGGCGGCAGUCGAGCAACGCUUUUAUCCAGGCCGGCGCGUGGGUGUCCUACACCAUGUCGUUCCCUUUGGUCACCUACACAUUGGGCAUGAUGCAGACUUCCCCGUAA
rnacentral:rRNA from 1 species